rnacentral:rRNA from 1 species
UACGUAGGGGGCUAGCGUUGUCCGGAUUUAUUGGGCGUAAAGAGCGUGUAGGCGGCCAGGUAGGUCUGCUGUGAAACCUCCAGGCUCAACCUGGAGACGCCACCCGAUACUGCUGUGACUCGAGUCCGGUAGGGGAGCGUGGAAUUCCUGGUGUAGCGGUGAAAUGCGCAGAUAUCAGGAGGAACACCAGCGGCGAAGGCGGCGCUCUGGGCCGGAACUGACGCUGAGGAGCGAAAGCGUGGGUAGCAAACAGG